GAACAAUCUUGGCAGCUCAUCAACAAAAAUUACAAAGAUCCAGAGAAGAUUAGCACGACUCCUGCACAAGGAUGACUCACAGAUUUGUGAAGGGGUCCAUAUUGGC